rnacentral:rRNA from 1 species
CCCGGAUACCGCUUUCACGUUGGAAAAACGGAAAGCUGGAAACGGUCCGCCGCCGGAGGACGUGACUGCGCUUCCAAAAGGUAGACGGUGGGGUAACGGCCCACCGUGCCAAUAAUCGGUACGGGUUGUGAGAGCAAGAGCCCGGAGACGGAAUCUGAGACAAGAUUCCGGGCCCUACGGGGCGCAGCAGCCGCGAAACCUUUACACUGCACGACAGUGCGAUAAGGGGAUCCCGAGUGCGAGGGCAUACAGUCCUCGCUUUUCGUGACCGUAAGGUGGUCACAGAAUAAGGGCUGGGCAAGACCUUUUGCCAGCCGCCGCGGUAAUACCGGCAGCCCGAGUGAUAGCCAAUUUUAUUGGGCCUAAAGCGUCCGUAGCCGGCCGAACGGGUCCGUCGGGAAAUCCACCCGCUUAACGGGUGGGCGUCCGGCGGAAACCAGUCGGCUUGGGGCCGGGAGACCAGAGGGGUACGUCCGGGGUAGGAGUGAAAUCCUGUAAUCCUGGACGGACCACCGGUUGCGAAAGCGCCUCUGGAGAACGGACCCGACGGUGAGGGACGAAAGCUAGGGUCUCGAACCGGAUUAGAUACCCGGGUAGUCCUAGCCGUAAACGAUGCUCGCUAGGUGUGACGCAGGCUACGAGCCUGCGUUGCGCCGUAGGGAAGCCGAGAAGCGAGCCGCCUGGGAAGUACGUCCGCAAGGAUGAAACUUAAAGGAAUUGGCGGGGGAGCACUACAACCGGAGGAGCCUGCGGUUUAAUUGGACUCAACGCCGGACAUCUCACCGGCACCGACAACGUGCAGUGACGGUCAGUUUGAUGAGCUUACCUGAGCCGUUGAGAGGAGGUGCAUGGCCGCCGUCAGCUCGUACCGUGAGGCGUCCUGUUAAGUCAGGCAACGAGCGAGACCCGCGUCCAUAAUUGCCAGCAGCACCCUUGUGGUGGCUGGGUACAUUAUGGAGACUGCCGUCGCUAAGACGGAGGAAGGAACGGGCAACGGUAGGUCAGUAUGCCCCGAAUGUGCCGGGCGACACGCGGGCUACAAUGGCCAGGACAGUGGGACGCUACCCCGAGAGGGGACGCUAAUCUCCUAACCCUGGUCGUAGUUCGGAUUGCGGAUUGAAACUCAUCCGCAUGAAGCUGGAUUCGGUAGUAAUCGCGUUUCAGAAGAGCGCGGUGAAUACGUCCCUGCUC